rnacentral:rRNA from 1 species
AGUGAACGCUGGCGGCAGGCCUAACACAUGCAAGUCGAACGGCAGCACAGUAAGAGUUUGCUCUUACGGGUGGCGAGUGGCGGACGGGUGAGGAAUACAUCGGAAUCUACUUUUUCGUGGGGGAUAACGUAGGGAAACUUACGCUAAUACCGCAUACGACCUACGGGUGAAAGCAGGGGAUCUUCGGACCUUGCGCGAUUGAAUGAGCCGAUGUCGGAUUAGCUAGUUGGCGGGGUAAAGGCCCACCAAGGCGACGAUCCGUAGCUGGUCUGAGAGGAUGAUCGGCCACACUGGAACUGAGACACGGUCCAGACUCCUACGGGAGGCAGCAGUGGGGAAUAUUGGGCAAUGGGCGCAAGCCUGAUCCAGCCAUACCGCGUGGGUGAAGAAGGCCUUCGGGUUGUAAAGCCCUUUUGUUGGGAAAGAAAAGCAGCAGGUUAAUACGCCGCUGUUCUGACGGUACCCAAAGAAUAAGCACCGGCUAACUUCGUG